rfam:Firmicutes bacterium CAG:129 genomic scaffold, scf133
AAACUGCGAUGAACCGGGAGAUUGCUCAGGGCUUCUGAGGUAACUUCCGGGGAGUAUGUCCGAGAAUCGGGCGG